rnacentral:rRNA from 1 species
UGGCUCAGGACGAACGCUGGCGGCGUGCCUAAUACAUGCAAGUCGAACGGUCUUUCUAUGGAAGCUUGCUUCCACUGAGAAGAUAGUGGCGAACGGGUGAGUAACACGUGGGUAACCUGCCCAUAAGAGGGGGGAUAACAUCCGGAAACGGGUGCUAAUACCGCAUAGUUUUCUUGAUCGCAUGAUCGGGAAAGGAAAGACGGCCUUUGUGCUGUCGCUUAUGGAUGGACCCGCGGCGUAUUAGUUAGUUGGUGAGGUAACGGCUCACCAAGACGAUGAUACGUAGCCGACCUGAGAGGGUGAUCGGCCACAUUGGGACUGAGACACGGCCCAAACUCCUACGGGAGGCAGCAGUAGGGAAUCUUCCGCAAUGGACGAAAGUCUGACGGAGCAACGCCGCGUGAGUGAAGAAAGGUUUUCGGAUCGUAAAACUCUGUUGUCAGAGAAGAACAAGUUGGAGAGUAACUGCUCCAGCCUUGACGGUAUCUGACCAGAAAGCCACGGCUAACUACGUGCCAGCAGCCGC